rnacentral:rRNA from 1 species
AUACGGAGGGUGCAAGCGUUACUCGGAAUCACAGGGCGUAAAGCGCGCGCAGGCGGCUAUUUAAGUUGGAUGUGAAAGCCUAUGGCCCAACCAUAGAACUGCAUCCAAAACUAUUUAGCUAGAGUGUGGGAGAGGAAGAUGGAAUUAGUUGUGUAGGGGUAAAAUCCGUAGAGAUAAAUAGGAAUACCAAAAGCGAAGGCAAUCUUCUGGAACACUACUGACGCUGAGGCGCGAAAGCGUGGGGAGCAAACAGGAUUAGAAACCCUAGUAGUCC